GUGAGCUCGGGGGGCUGGAGGAAAGCUUUCAGCACCCUGGGAAACCACUACUGCAGUAACUGCCUUUCCAGGUGGAUCAGGAGCUUUUCUUUCUACUGUUGUGCGUGGAGCUGUGAUGGAGAUAAGAACUGGGGAAGGAACUGUUUCUAUCCUGACCAAUCUUCUAAAGGGGAUAAAAUAGUAAAAUAGUAACUUCAGUUUCACAGGCUCCCUAUCAUGGACCAACAAUUUGCUUAAAAAAAUCACUUAAACAUUGUGAUCAGCUAAACCCGGUGUUUUUAAAUGAUGUGUUUCACCCCAUAAAACUGGUUGAGAGGAGCUGGGUAGCCUCCUUCUUUGGACCGUUCUUAAGUUUCCAUCCCAAGUGCAGUCACACAAUCACAGUGCCAAUAAUGGUAAUCAUUGAAGUCACAAACAUUCAUUUGACAUUGAUAGAGGGAAGGAAUGUCAGAGCCCCUCAGUGAGCCGCACAAGAGCCACUGGAGGCGAUGCCACCUGAGUCACAGCAGUGCAGGGGUGACCUCGGCCAGCUUGUGCUUUGGGUCCCAAGCAUGUCCUGUGAGCAGGGGGGAGAAGUGGCACCUCAUGGGCUGUGGCAGUGACAGGAAUGCUUCAAGCUGCCGUAACAUGGAAAAAAUUGAGUGCUUUUUUGCUACCUUUUGGAAUUACCAGCCUGGGAAAAGAACUGUACUACUGUUUGAAUUGGGAAUUUCCUGCCUCAGUGGCACCUCUCUCCUUGAAGUUUCAGCACACGUUAAUGUUUGCAAGACCUGCAAGGACUUUGGAUGACCUUGUGCUGCCUAAUCCCGUGCAGGGUAACCUACCUCUCAGGAGCCACCAGGAAAAGUCUGCAGUGGAAGUGUCUGGAUUCUUGCCCCAGAUGCUGGCCAGUACUGAGGCAUUCAGACUGUUAGGCACAGCAGGAGCUGCUGAGAGGAACCCCUGCAACUGUCCAGGAUUUCUUCCCGGAUUACUCCUCUAG
rnacentral:lncRNA from 1 species